rnacentral:rRNA from 1 species
UACAGAGGUCUCAAGCGUUGUUCGGAUUCACUGGGCGUAAAGGGUGCGUAGGUGGCAUAGAAAGUUUGAUGUGAAAGCUCAGGGCUUAACCCUGAAAUGGCAUUGAAUACUGCUGUGCUGGAGGUUUGGAGGGGGACUGGAAUUCUUGGUGUAGCAGUGAAAUGCGUAGAUAUCAAGAGGAACACCAGUGGCGAAGGCGAGUCCCUGGACAACACCUGACACUGAGGCACGAAAGCUAGGGGAGCAAACAGG